rnacentral:lncRNA from 1 species
AUUAAUUUCUGUUGUAUAAGCCACUCAGUCUAUAGUAUUUUGUUAUGGCAGCCCAAGCUGGCUAAGACAGCGGACAGAAAAGAAUUUAAAUCCGUCCUGGAAUUUGGCACAUGUAUGGGAUAUGGAUAGAAAAUAAGAGCAAAGAGGAAUUCAAGAUAAUGAGGCAAUAUAAACAAAAGUUGAAAAGAGAAAAUGAGCAUGCAGUGCCUAGAGAUGCCAAGGAAUCCAGAUCACUGAGGUCGGAUAGAUGUGUCUUUCCAGAAUUUGAUGAGGUUAACCAGGUAGAGCCAGAUGGUAGAGAUCCUUGAAUACCAGGCAAGGGAGUUCAUCUCUCCACCUGUAAGCAUGAAGGAGCCACGGGAGAUUUUGCAAAGGGAAUGACCAAAACGAAAAUGGCAUUUAGGAAAUGAGUUUGCCAGAAGUACCUGGGAGAAAUGGGGACUAGGCACUGAGAAUGUAAUUCAUAGCACAGCAGAACAGAUACUAAAAGAUCGUUCUGGAAGCAGAAGGGCUGGUUUCCAGCUUUUCUGAGGUUGUUUCACUGUGGGUAACUGCUAAGGCCUUCACCCUUGAUGCCAGAGGUGCUGAAACACAUUGCCACACGGCGAAAGAAGUGCCCUAUUGGCCCAAACACAUUGAAUAAACAUCUACCUCAAACCUU